AAUAUUGGACAAUGGGGGAAACCCUGAUCCAGCCAUCCCGCGUGUGUGAUGAAGGCCUUCGGGUUNUAAAGCACUUUAGGCAGGGANGAAAAGCAUUAGCCUAAUACCUGAAUCUGCUGACGUUACCUACAGAAUAAGCACCGGCUAACUACGUGCCAGCAGCCGCGGUAAUACAGAGGGUGCAAGCGUUAAUCGGAAUUACUGGGCGUAAAGCGUGCGGAGGUGGUUUGUCAAGUAGGAUGUGAAAUCCCAGGGCUUAACCUUGGAACUGCAUUCUUAACUGACGAGCUAGAGUAUGGCAGAGGGUAGUAGAAUUCCGCGUGUAGCAGUGAAAUGCGUAGAUAUGCGGAGGAACACCGGUGGCGAAGGCAGCUCCCUGGAAUAAUACUGACGCUCAUGUACGAAAGCGUGGGGAGCAAAC
rnacentral:rRNA from 1 species